rnacentral:rRNA from 1 species
GAGGAAAAGAAACUAACAAGGAUUCCCCUAGUAACGGCGAGUGAAGAGGGAUGAGCUCAAAUUUGAAAUCUGGCGGCCUACGGUCGUCCGAGUUGUAAUCUAGAGAAGUGUUUUCCGUGCUGGACCGUGUACAAGUCCUUUGGAACAAGGCAUCAUAGAGGGUGAGAAUCCCGUCUACGACACGGACUACCAGUGCUGUGUGAUACACUCUCAACGAGUCGAGUUGUUUGGGAAUGCAGCUCAAAAUGGCUGCUAAAUUCCAUCUAAAGCUAAAUAUGGGCAAAAGACCGAUAGCGAACAAGUACCGUGAGGGCAAGAUGAAAAGCACUUUGGAAAGAGAAUUAAACAGUACGUGAAAUUGUUAAAAGGGAAACGCUCGAAGUCAGUCGCGUCUUCAGAAAUUCAGCCUGGCUUGUGCUUGGUGUACUUUUCUGUUGGACGGGCCAGCGUCAGUUUCAGUCGUCAGAGAAAGGUGAGAGGAAGGUGGCACCUCUGGGUGUGUUAUAGCCUCUGAUCGUAUAUGGCGGGUGGGACUGAGGACUGCAGCACGCCUUUAUGGCCGGGGUUCGCCCACGUAACGUGCUUAGGAUGCUGGCGUAAUGGCUUUAAGCGACCCGUCUUG